AUGAAUUGUUUUCACCGACCGCUGGACAGCAUAACGGGGAAAGUGACGUGGAAUAUGGGGGCAAAAGGACAGGACAGACUCCCAGGGAAGGAAAGACUCCGCCUGCAGCGACUGCUUCACUCCGCACGGGCCAGCAUCCCUAUCUGGAUCACCUUUUGCUACGGCUUAGAAAGAACGGCUGUCCCACUCACUCACAAAAGAAAGCAUGUCAGCCGGGUCUAUCUUUAAGCCUGAGCUCCUUUCUGACUUAAACUGCACUGGAUUUUUUGUUCCAUGACAGAGUGUAUAUCAAACGUGACUUUAUUGGCCCUGCUGUGGCCUGUAAUGAAUGCACGACUAAAAUACCUAAGUGGCGGCUGUGGUUCGUUAAGGGAGGGGACGAAGGGAGCGGGGUAAGAGGUGGAGGAGGGUGGGAGGAAGGUAGUAGGGGAGCGUGCUUGGAGUGAGAAUCAGAAGUAGAGAGAGGGAGAGAGAAAGGUGAAGACAGAAGGCAGGUCUGCUGCGGUUUGGCAGCCACCGCAUAUGGAUCAUGACAUCAUUCCCCGACAAAACGAGGCGACGUCUUCUCCACUUCGGUAUCGUUCAGUCCGGAAAAAAAAAAAUCUUAAAAGAGUUCUUCUAAAAACCUUCACAUUAAAUAGUUUCAUUUAACUUAGGCGGUGCCCUUCAUUCUCUUAAUCCAAUCUCCUUUCACUCAAGAAGCUGAAGCUUUUCCCAUCAUUUCUUUCUAUCCAAGCUGUCUCCAUUUAUCUGCCUUUGUUCCACUUAGCCAAGAAGUUUUAGUGACGGCCCUGUGUGCGGCUGGCAUUUUUUACAUCCUUAUGUUAGUUUAAGAGCAUAUAAUUGCUGAUAUUGGCUGUCCUAAGCAUCUUUAGACACCACUUCCAUUUAGUUUGUGAAGUCACAUCUCAGCAUUUUCUAGCACAUAAAAUCUCAUACAGCAAUGCUGGCUCGGGUAAGAUCUUUCCUCUGCUGGUUGCCAUGUCCUUUUAAUGUAAUUACAGUUAUUAAUGGCGUGUUACCGUGUUGAGGGGCAGUUAUAGCUGGACUCAUACAUGUGAACUGCGAGGAGUCUGCAGGAGGAGUUUGCAAAACAGUGUUGAACACUCUGUAUAUAUAUUUGGUGAACUUACUGGAUAAAGUGGCUCAUUAAGGACACUUACAGUGUCAUCCUUCUUACAUUAAUGUGAAGUAUUUCACCUCUGUAAAGUCUAAAAACAAACAAACGAAGCCCCCGAGAGUUCAGUAAGGUUAAAUUAAGGAAGGAUACAUACCCUGGUGCUUUUUUCAAAUAAUCUAAAUAAGAGUUAAAUCCGGUGUGCAGGUUGUGGUGGUCUACAAAGAAAGGCAGGAAGGAGAGAGUGUGUGAGGGAGCAGGAGAGGAUAUAAUUAAAUAUAUCAUCUAAAUAGGUAUUGAUUGUCUUAAGGGUGUUGCCGUUAGAUUAAAAGGUUAAGGAAUAAAACCGCUUUGAGGAUUAAAUCAUUGUGAGGUAAAAUCAAGAGCGGACGGAAGAUAAACACUGCAAUAAUCACAAAGUAUGAGCACUGCAGACACUCUUAAUGAUGUCCUAUAGAGACAUUAAAGAUCCCAUCAUGAUACAUUUAAGCAGCAUAAACAAAAAACGGUCACAGCAUUUUAAACAAAUCCACUGGAAGGAGAGUUUACCUUGAGUGAAACGUGAACACAAGGUCUAUUAUGUCGGUGGAGAUAAUGUCAAAAGUUGUGUGGACGUAGCUUUAAAGAUACUAUCAUCACAGGCCGUAGUAACCUCAGAGAGGGCUGUUGACCGAUAAAGAAAAAGUUCACCACCAUGCAGUAACGGCAGCCACGGCACAACACCUGAGCCGAGCAGCCGCACAAGGUCAGGAAGCGUUUUUAUCCGAGAGACGUGUUUUAUCUUCAGGGAGAGAAAGGGAGCAAGAAAGUGGCUGAGAAGAGGAUAAAGGGUCCUGUUACGCUCCUGUCUCCUCCUCUGAUCAACCAAUCAGGCGUGGGAAUAGUGCUGAGUCAGCUGCUGGGUAGCUGCUCACGUCCAAAUGCAGCGGGAGGAGGGGUUGGUGGUGGAAGAGGAGCCAGCCAGCCAGCCAGCCGGUGUCUGCAGUGGACUGCAGCAGCAUUAGCACCACUAACCCCUGUGACGAGGGGGCCUUACUGGGAGAGAGGGGGGCCUAACCACUGGCCUGAUCUCCCCUAAUGGACUUUAAUUUUACACCACUUCUGCAAUGCCCAUCACAAUCCCAUCCACCAUGACUGUCCGUGCUCAGUUUGAUAUAUACGUCCCACUUUUCCCUCUGCCACUAGUCAGCGGGUAAUUAGCAGGAAUAAAUACAGCCAGCCACAGAAGAUAAAGUUUACAGCCUGACCACAGGUCAACUUGUUUCAUUACUAUAGUGUGCCUUGCAUUAAGCUAAUUACCAACUGGCAAACAUCUUCAUCAGACAUGCACAGAGGCCUUCAUUAGGAUGGUUUGUCUAAAUCCGCUUCAUUUAAAUGCUGCAUUACAGAAGAUUAUUGCAGAUUUAAGUGGAUUUUCGUUAGUCCACAUGAAACAGAAAGCAGAAUGUUGUUCGUUUCCGUAGCUAGGGAGGGACUUAACUGUCAGACUGAAUGCAGCAUCCAGUGCCUAGUGAUAAAGGUGUGUUUUUGUAGUGACAAAGUUGUGUUUCUGAACAAGCAAUAAAGUUGUAUUGGUUGAAGUUGGUUGGUUCAUGCUUACAUAAGCACUGGUCACAUUUUGUUUUACAGGAAGAAAAAAUCAUUGGAUUUUGAUAUAAAAAUAUAAAGAAAUAUAUUUUUUUGUACUUUUUUUGGUAUACAUUGUGAAAUGGGUACAAUACGACGAGGAUGUCAUAAAAAAGCAUUUUGACUUAUAUAGUUAUUUUGCAACAAACUGUUGUCAGAAGUCACUCGUAGUGCGUUGACAUGACAGGAAGUGAUGCUCUCCCUCACUGUGCAGCCCUGGAUGGAGAGCUGUGGCCUGACAUCAGUCAGUCACUGAGAGCCACUUGUCCUGAUAAGGAAAGAGAGAGAGCUGAGAGGACUAGCUGAGACGCAAACAUGUUCAGCGAGAGAGGAGGCUGAGUGAGUUAUGGGAGUGGCGGCAUACAACGGGUUGUGUUGGCACAGCCCCGAUGUCAGGCCAUACAUCUGUAAAUGAAAAUAUCACAGUCACAAAGAGUGACAAAGUUCGCUGCAGGACUGGUUUCAAAGUGUCACUCCUCCUGUUGGGGAUACAUAGUGUUGGGCUGGCAGCUGCUCUGUAACACCACCUGUACUGUCUCCCUGGGGACGCCUCCCACCCUCACUGACCUUCCCACUGUGACUCCCUGACUGUCUUCACCACUACGUCUCUCCCUCUCUCUCCGCUGGCGUCCAGCUGUCCCUAGCCCUUACCCCCCCCCCCCCCCCUUCUCCAAUAUAAGGGCAGGAAUGCAGCGGACAGCACAGUCCCAGAAUAGAUAAGUAGCCAGCCUAUCUCCAGCCAUGCAGUCAGCCUGAUAGAGGGCACCUACAGUAGCAGCAAGAGUGCACACACAUGCAGCAGCCCUGACCCACAUACGGACCCCCUUCCCUAAGUUCCUGCCACUGCUAAACUUGCGAAUGCACAACACCUUUCACUUAUUGUAGUUUUGAUCUCGACUUACAGUUUAAUGUUGAAAGAGCGCUCGUCGGCAGAGCUUUCAGCAGACAUCUGAGCGAGGUUAAUGAUAAAACGGCGCGGGCGUAAUGAUUCUGUUUGAUGUUGGAUCUGAGUGGAGGUGUGAAGGAGGGUCACUCCGUUUGAUGAGCGUUUGGGCUCGUGGAUCACCGGAAUAAAGUGCAGACAGUACGGCCAAGGGAUUCUCUCCCUAAUCUACUGAAAAUCCCGCCAUGAUAAGAAUUUCACAUGUAGCGCUCUCUCCCCUGAAGUCGAUAUUCGCGCUUGAACACACACAGUAGCUCGCUGAGCAAUAUGCGCACACACUCGCCCAGUCUUAUGUGG
rnacentral:lncRNA from 15 species